rnacentral:rRNA from 1 species
CGACCGGCGCACGGGUGAGUAACACGUAUGGAACCUGCCCUAUGCAGGGGGAUAAGCGGAAGAAAUUCCGUCUAAUACCGCAUAACACCUUUAGGAGACAUCUUCUUGGGGGUCAAAGGAGGCGACUCCGGCAUAGGAUGGCCAUGCGUCGCAUUAGCUAGUCGGCGGGGUAACGGCCCACCGAGGCGACGAUGCGUAGGGGUUCUGAGAGGAAGGUCCCCCACACUGGUACUGAGACACGGACCAGACUCCUACGGAAGGCAGCAG